UACGUAGGGGGCAAGCGUUGUCCGGAAUCAUUGGGCGUAAAGAGCGUGUAGGCGGUCCGGUAAGUCCGCUGUAAAAGUCAAGGGCUCAACCCUUGAAAGCCGGUGGAUACUGCCGGGCUAGAGUCCGGAAGAGGCGAGUGGAACUCCUGGUGUAGCGGUGAAAUGCGCAGAUAUCAGGAGGAACACCAAUGGCGAAGGCAGCUCGCUGGGACGGUACUGACGCUGAGACGCGAAAGCGUGGGGAGCAAACAGG
rnacentral:rRNA from 1 species